AGUUUGAUCCUGGCUCASGAUGAACGCUAGCUACAGGCUUAACACAUGCAAGKCKAGGGGCAGCAUGGUCUUAGCUUGCUAAGGCCGAUGGCGACCGGCGCACGGSUGAGUAACGCGUAUCCAACCUGCCUUACACUCUUGGACAGCCUUCUGAAAGGGAGAUUAWUACAAKAUGUUAUCAUGAGUAAKCAUUUUCGCAUGAKUAAMGGUUUACCGGUGUAAGAUGGGGAUGCGUUCCAUUASAUAGUAGGCGGGGUAACGGCCCACCUAGUCUUCSAUGGAUAGGGGUUCUGASAGGAAGGUCCCCCACAUUGGAACUGAKACACGGYCCAAACUCCUACGGSAGGCAGCAGUGAGGAAUAUUGGUCRAUGGACGAGAGUCUGAACCAGCCAAKKAKCGWGAAGGAUGAAGGUUCUAUGGAUUGUAAACUUCUUUUAUACRGGAAUAAACSGAUCCACGUGUGGAUUUUUGCAUGUACCGUAUGAAUAAGGAUCGGCUAACUCCGUGCCAGCAGCCGCGGUAAUACGGAGGAUCCGAGCGUUAUCCGGAUUUAUUGGGUUUAAAGGGAGCGUAGAUGGGUUGUUAAGUCAGUUGUGAAAGUUUGCGGCUCAACCGUAAAAUUGCAAUUGAUACUGGCARUCUUGAGUACAGUUGAGGUAGGCGGAAUUCGUGGCGUAGCGGUGAAAUGCUUAGAUAUCACGAAGAACUCCGAUUGCGAAGGCAGCUUACURRCCUGUAACUGACAUUGAUGCUCGAAAGUGUGGGUAUCAAACAGGAUUAGAUACCCUGGUAGUCCACACGGCAAACGAUGAAUACUCGCUGUAGGCGAUAUACAGUCUGCGGCCAAGYGAAAGCAUUAAGUAUUCCACCUGGGGAGUACGCCGGCAACGGUGAAACUCAAAGGAAUUGACGGGGGCCCGCMCAAGCGGAGGAACAUGUGGUUUAAUUCGAYGAUACGCGAGGAACCUUACCCGGGCYUAAAUUGCAACCGAAUAYGGCGGAAACKCCAUAGCUAGCAAUAGCGGUUGUGAAGGUGCUGCAUGGUUGUCGUCAGCUCGUGCCGUGAGGUGUCGGCUUAAGYGCCAUAMCGAGCGCAACCCUUGCCGAUAGUUACUARCAGGUCAUGYUGAGGACU
rnacentral:rRNA from 1 species